CUGCAGUGAUGACAAUCUUAGGACACCUUUGGAAUAAUAAUGAAAACAAAUAUUUUUCUGAGCUUC